UCAAGCUUUAAACUUAUUUCCCAAAAUCAGAUUAACCUUAAAAUCCUUAUUCAACUAUAUCUCUAUCAAUCUUUCACAAAAUUAGAUUUUUUAUUUUUCGAUCAUCAAAUUCGCAAUAUUGCAUGAUUUUCGAAAAAAAUCGUGUUGUAUAGAUCAUCAAACAGGAUCUGAUUGUUGAAUACAAUGUAUAAACCAAAUACCCUAAGGAGAUUCACAAGAGGCUAUACAACUGCGAUGUAAUUAGAGAAGAAGUCGAAUGAUGAACUAGUAAGGUCUAGUCCUUCUAAAAGGAAGGUAGUGUCAACGGUGAAAGCAAUCGAAAAAAAUGUUACAAGAGGAGGAAAGUAAAAAAUUUUGUCCCGGACAUGAUUGGAGAAUCGGUUGUUAAUGAAGAACAAGAUGAAGUGCAUGAAGAAUCACAUAGUUCAUCAAUUUUUUCUUCUUCUUCUCUUCUUGGUGUGUGAAACCAAGAGAUGAUUUUGACUUGUCACAAAAAUCCAGCAGUAGAGAUCUUGUAACACUCAUGUCUACAUGUUGUAUAAAAUAUAUUUAACUAUAUAUAUCAUAAUAGAUUUACUGUUCUAUUUAAUGGUAGUAUGCUUAAAUGAAUAUUUGCACUUUAUUAAUGUGUAUGAUUUUUGUAUAAAUUUCAAUUGCAAUAUGCAAAAAUAUAUGAACAUUGUAUGAAAAAUGUAUAAA